rnacentral:rRNA from 1 species
AGGACGAACGCUGGCGGCGUGCUUAACACAUGCAAGUCACGGGGGCUCGCAAGGGCAACCGGCGAACGGGUGCGUAACACGUGAGCAACCUGCCGAUCUGAGGGGGAUAGCCGGCCCAACGGCCGGGUAAUACCGCAUACGCUUGUGGGGUCUCAUGACCGUACAAGGAAACCUCCGGGGCAGAUCGAGGGGCUCGCGGCCUAUCAGCUAGUUGGCGGUGUAAUGGACCACCAAGGCGACGACGGGUAGCUGGU